UAAAAAAUGUUUGUAGGAUAAGGAAUAGGCCAUAGAUGGAUCUUGGGUGUACUAGUGGUGAAGGCUCUGUGGAGCAGCAUAACUGCACAUGCAUGAUGAAUUUAUUUUAUAACUACGGUCCAAAAUUUAUACAUUUUUACACAUGGGACGAGAGUUUAUACAGGAGAAAAGCAGAUUCGGGCUGUCGUUUAAUGGAUACUAUUGAACGAUGCAUGAUUGAUUAGCCAGGCACAAUCAUUAAUCUUCUUAAUGACACAUGGGGUGUCUUAAUUCUUUAUAAGAGAAGGGGAUCUGAUGCAAGAUUCCAAUCUAUGCCAAGGUUCAGAAGUUACAGAAAUUUUACACAUUCCCAUCUUGGAGUCUCCAAUCCAACAAUGGCUAUUAUAGAAAGUCUAGAUGCUCGACUUAUGAAGAAGAUUGGUGAAUAUCAUCUUGCACAAGCGCGCCUCUCGUGAAUUAUCAUGGACAUUUUCGAAACAUUCGGAGUAGUCGAAUUUCUACGGUGCUGACUACAUGUGAUGCGAAGGAAAGUCGGUGCAUUAAAACCUGUAAAGUUUUCUUAAUAUCGACCACUUACUUUCUCUGAAACCUAAAAAGGAGAUUCAGAAUGGAGAAAAGAAAGCAAAACUUUGUGUUAACCAUGAAACGCAUCUGAAUUUCUGCCAUAUGCACUAUCGACUCGAUUCAUCGAUUUCUCAAGAUUGAAGGAGAGAGCCAACAGAGAAGAAGAAAAGAUUUUUUUUCAAAU